AUCAAAAAGGCCAGCAUGUCAAAAACCAAAAGAAGCAAAAUAAGAGGUUGCAAACUUUCCAUCUUCAAACUUUGAAGAUAAAGCAAUUUUUCAGAUAAUGCCUAACCUUUAUCUGAAACAUAUUAGAUAACCAGAUGAGGUCUCGAAAUAGCACUUAAUAAGGUAAACAUCCACAUUACAUCUAGCAGCAACCACGAGUUCGCAAAUCAACAAACAUCAGGCAAAACUUAAAAACGACGGUUCCAGGAACAUAGGUCUAUAUCCUUGAAGAUAACUGGCUAUAGCAAAACGACUCAACGCCUCAGAAUCAGGCCUUGGCAGCAGCCUGGGCAGCGGCAUCCCGCUUCCUCUGCUCCUCAAUGAUGGUGAGCUUGAUACCCUUGCCCUUGGGGAGGCUCACCCACGGCUUGGUGCCCUUGCCGAUGGUGAACACGUUGCCCAGACGGGUGGCAAACUGGUGGCCCUGCGCAUCCUCAACGUGGAUGGUCUCGAAGGUUCCCUUAUGCUUCUCCCUGUUCUUGAUCACACCAACACGCCCAGUGUUGCGCCCACCAGUAACCAUGACCACAUUGCCGACGUCAAACUUGAUGAAGUCAACAAUCUUGUUGGUCUCCAGGUCGAGCUUGAUGGUGUCAUUGGCCUUGAUGAGUGGGUCUGGGUAGCGGAUGGUGCGGCCAUCAUAGGUGUUCAGGUAGGGGAUGCCCUUCUGGCCGAACUGGACAGACCUGACCUUGCAGAGCUUGAACUGCACAUGAAGGAAAGAAAGUCAGCAGAUGGAUAGAUAAUGGUAUAUACUACAUUUAUAUUUAUGGAUAAAACAGAUGACAAACUAGAACCUAUCCAGGCAGGAUCUGAAAACAAAAUGGCAUCCUAAGAAAAUGAAGACUGGAUUGCAACAGUUAAGCAUAGUGAACAAAUAGAACAGCAAAUAGACAACAGGGUGGUACAAUGCUAGGCAAGUAAGAUAGCAACAGCAAGGUCUUCACUGGAAGAGGAUAUCAAUGCAUACCAUAUACAAGUAGGUUUUAUAAGUAGAUUAAAGUUUCUAUAAGUAAAUUAUAAUCAGUUCCAGGAAUCAAAAGGCAUCAGGAAGAACAGCAUGAUAAUACAGAAAAGGG
rnacentral:lncRNA from 1 species